UACGAAGGGGGCUAGCGUUGCUCGGAAUUACUGGGCGUAAAGGGCUCGUAGGCGGCCAACUAAGUCAGACGUGAAAUCCCUCAGCUUAACUGGGGAACUGCGUCUGAUACUGGAUGGCUUGGAUUCGGGAGAGGAAUGCGGAAUUCCAGGUGUAGCGGUGAAAUGCGUAGAUAUCUGGAGGAACACCGGUGGCGAAGGCGGCAUUCUGGACCGAUAUUGACGCUGAGGAGCGAAAGCCAGGGGAGCAAAGCG
rnacentral:rRNA from 1 species